CGUGCCGCGCUCGGACGCGCGGUCUUGGCCGAGCGGCGGCACCCGGGUCGCGCUCUGGACCAACGGGGUCUGCCGUCUGGCGCUGCGCCAAGUGCUUUGAUCCGCGCUGAUGUCAAGUGGGUGUGGGCUCUUAGGGAAGGCCGGGCGAGGACGAGGAGGGAGCGAGAUGCGCCGCGGGCGCGCUGAGGCCCCAGCGCGCUCCGCCGCCCCGCGCUGCUGACCGGUAGCCGGCCCCGGCUCCCGGAGCGGGCUCAUGGAGCCGCGGCGCUGCCCGUCCGGGGACGCGUGCCCCGCCGCCCUGGGGGGCUGGAGGGGGCCGCCGCGGGGGCCCUGCAGCCAUAAUCAGCAGACCACCGCCUUCAGGCAUCCUGUGAGUGGGCAGUUUUCUCCAGAAAAUAGCGAAUUUAUUCUUCAAGAAGAGCCAAAUCCACAUAUGUCGAAGCAAGAGAGAAACCAAAGACCGUCCAGCAUGGUCAGUGAAACGUCCACGGCCGGGACCACUUCUACCGUGGAGGCCAAGCCUGGCCCCAAGAUCAUAAAGUCCAGCAGUAAAGUCCACAGCUUUGGGAAGAGGGACCAAGCCAUUCGGAGGAACCCCAAUGUUCCGGUGGUGGUGAGGGGCUGGUUGCACAAGCAGGACAGUUCUGGGAUGAGGCUGUGGAAAAGGAGGUGGUUUGUGCUGGCUGAUUAUUGCUUGUUUUACUAUAAAGACAGCCGAGAAGAAGUGGUCCUUGGGAGCAUCCCUCUGCCCAGCUAUGUGAUCUCAACAGUGGCCCCCGAGGAUCGCAUAAGUCGCAAGUAUUCCUUUAAGGCCGUUCACAUGGGGAUGCGAGCACUCAUCUAUAAUAGCUCCACCCGGGGCUCUCAGGCCGAGCAGUCGGGCAUGAGGACCUACUACUUCAGUGCCGACACCCAGGAGGACAUGAACGCUUGGGUCAGGGCCAUGAACCAGGCUGCACAGGUGCUAUCUCGAUCGUCACUGAAGAGGGACAUGGAGAAGGUGGAGCGACAGGCGGUCCCCCAGGCCAACCACACAGAGUCCUGUCGAGAAUGUGGCCGCAUGGGACCCGGACAUGCAAGGGAUUGUUCUCAUCGCAACCACGAGGAUUCCUUUGGAUUCGAGAGGCGGGAGCAGGAGGAAGACCGGUACUGCUCCCAGAGGGACCCACUGGAGGGCAAGCGGGACAGGAGCAAGGCCAGGUCCCCAUACUCGCCAGCCGAAGAGGAUGCCUUGUUCGUGGAUUUACCCAGUGGCCCGAGAGGCCAGCAGGCUCAGCCCCAAAGGGCAGAGAGGAACGGUGUGCUGCCUGGCACAUCUGGCCCAGGAGAGCAGAACGGGACUGGCGGGUACCAGCGGGCCUUUCCUUCCAGGACCAACCCUGAGAAGCACAGCCAGAGGAAGAGCAGCCUGGCGCACGUGGAGCAGUGGGCAAAGGCCCAGAAGGCGGACGGCAGGAGCCUGACCCUGGACCAGACCCUUCCUCGCCAGGGUCCCAGCCAAUCCCUGUCCUUCCCAGAAAACUACCAGACUCUUCCCAAGAGCAGCCGACACCCGUCAGGGGGCUCUUCACCCCCUCCCCGCAACCUGCCGAGUGACUACAAGUAUGCGCAGGACCGAGCCAGCCACCUGAAGAUGUCGAGUGAGGAGCGCCGGGCACACCGGGACGGCACCGUGUGGCAGCUCUACGAGUGGCAGCAGCGCCAGCAGUUCCGGCAUGGUAGCCCCACGGCGCCCAUCUGUGCGGGCUCCCCAGAGUUCACCGACCAGGGCCGGAGCAGGAGCAUGUUAGAGGUGCCCCGCUCCAUCUCUGUGCCUCCAUCUCCCUCGGACAUCCCUCCCCCAGGGCCCCUGAGGGCCUUCCCACCCCGGCGGCCACACACGCCAGCAGAGAGGGUCACUGUGAAGCCACCGGACCAGAGGAGGAGUGUGGACAUCUCGCUGGGCGGUUCUCCCAGGAAGGCAUGGGGCCACACCACCAAGAACUCCUCUCAUGUGGACCGACGCUCCAUGCCCUCCAUGGGUUACAUGACCCACACUGUCAGUGCUCCCAGUUUACAUGGAAAAUCGGCUGACGAUACCUACCUCCAGCUGAAGAAAGACCUGGAGUACCUGGACCUAAAGAUGACAGGCCGGGAUCUUCUCAAGGACCGAAGUCUGAAGCCAGUGAAGAUUGCCGAGAGUGACAUUGACGUUAAACUGAGCGUCUUCUGUGAACAAGACAGGAUCCUCCAGGACUUGGAAGACAAGAUACGAGCCCUUAAGGAGAACAAAGAUCAGCUGGAAUCCGUGCUGGAGGUGUUGCACAGACAGAUGGAGCAGCACCGAGACCAGCCCCAGCACCUGGAGAAGAUUGCCUACCAGCAGAGGCUGCUGCAGGAGGACCUUGUCCACAUCCGGGCAGAGCUCUCCAGAGAGUCCACUGAGAUGGAAAAUGCCUGGAAUGAAUACCUGAAGUUAGAGAGAGAUGUGGAGCAGCUGAAGCAGACCCUGCAGGAGCAACACAGAAGAGCCUUUUUUUUCCAGGAGAAAUCGCAGAUACAGAAGGAUCUCUGGAGGAUCGAAGAUGUCAUUGCAGGCCUGAGUGCAAAUAAAGAGAACUUCAGAAUCCUGGUGGAAUCGGUCAAAAAUCCGGAGAGAAAAACAGUGCCUUUGCUUCCUCAUCCGCCUGUGCCUUCAAUCUCCUCUUCUGAGAGCAAGCCGCCCCUGCAGCCCAGCCCGCCCACCAGCCCCAUGCGGACCCCUCUGGAGGUUCGACUCUUCCCCCAGGUGCAAACCUACGUGCCGUACCGACCUCACCCACCCCAGCUGAGGAAGGUGAUGUCUCCCCUUCAGUCACCAACCAAGACGAAGCCCAAAGUUGAAGACGAGGCACCUCCCAGGCCCCCGCUCCCUGAGCUCUACAGCCCGGAGGACCAGCCCCCGGCCGUGCCACCUCUACCGAGGGAGGCCACCAUCAUCCGGCACACUUCAGUGAGGGGCCUCAAGCGGCAGUCGGACGAGAGGAAGCGAGACCGGGAGCAGGGGCAGUGUGUGAACGGGGACUCGAGGGUGGAACUCCGGUCAUACGUCAGUGAGCCUGAGCUGGCGACCUUCAGUGGGGACAUGGCCCCUCCCUCCCUGGGACUCGUGGGCUCUGAGAGCAGGUACCAGACGUUGCCAGGCAGAGGGCUCUCGGGGUCCACGUCAAGGCUCCAGCAGUCGUCCACCAUUGCUCCCUAUGUCACGCUUCAGAGGGGUCUAGAUGCCGAAAGCAGCAAGGUGACCUACCCUAGACCCAGGAGUGCCUUGGAGCGCCUGUACUCAGGGGACCACCAGCGGGGCAAGAUGAGCGCGGAGGAGCAGCUCGAGCGCAUGAAGCGGCACCAGAAGGCGCUGGUCCGGGAGCGCAAGAGGACGCUGAGCCAAGGAGAGAGGACGGGUCUGCCCUCGUCCCGCUACCUCAGCCAACCACUCCCUGGAGAUCUCGGCUCAUGGAAGCGCGAGCAGGACUUUGACCUGCAGCUGCUGGAACGGGCCGUACAAGGGGACAGAAAGGACAAGGAGGAGAAUGGCUGGCUGAAGGUGCAGGCUAUGCCUGUCACUGAGUUGGACCUGGAACCACAAGACUAUGACGUGGACAUCAGCAGAGAGCUCUCCAAACCAGAGAAGGUCUCCAUCCCCGAGCGUUACGUGGAGCUGGAUCCUGAAGAGCCGCCCAGCCUGGAGGAGCUGCAGGCGCGGUACCGCAAAGCCGAGAAGAUCCGGAACAUCCUUGCCCGGUCCAGCAUGUGCAACCUGCAGCCAGUGUCCGGCCAGGACCGGGACAGCGUGGCCAGCCUGGGCUCGCAGCUGCAGGAGCAGGAGCGCAUCAUCAACAUCUCCUACGCCCUGGCCUCCGAGGCCUCGCAGCGCAGCAAGCAGGUGGCAGCGCAGCAGCUGGCCCUCCUCCCGCCUAAAGCCCCCCUGUCCUCCAGGACGGUGCCACCUUACCCCCCCUUAAGCAACGGACUCCACUACACCUUUGUCUAACACCUUCCAAGUAAGAGCCCCCUCCUGGCGUGGCCCCUCACCUGGCGCUGAGCAUGUCCCCUCCCCUCUGCUGCUGAGAUGAUUGCAGUGCCACCUGCUGACGCUUCCUUCCAUGGGCAAAGCGGCCGCUGGGGAGACCCCUCCUGGACUGGUAGGCAGGUGGGGGGCUGAUGAUUUUUAGGAACUCAACGUUCAGCGGCUCCGAUACAGUAGAGACUGUGUGAUCCAAGCCCCCUGGCUCCCUGAAAUCUCAGGAGCUAGAGCUGCGCCCCUUCCCACCCCGCUGUCCUUCCUGCAGGCAGCCCAGUGCCCCAGGGGACCAGGGCAGGCCAGACGGCGGGCUUGGGAAGCGGGGGCGGUGGCUGGGAAGGAAGAAUUAGAUCAUGGCCUCUCCCCGUCAGGGCUUUGGCCAAAGAAAUUGAAGAACCGGAAGCCUAGAAAAACCAGUUUUGCAGAUGAGGACAUGGGCCCUGUGAGGGAUGGGGGCUCAUUCCAGUCACAAGGGAAGCUUCAGGAGGAGGCUGCCCGGUGUGAUGGCCCUCACCCCUGCAGAACAUUCCAGCACCACCCCUUCUGAGUCCUCCCCACGUGGGCAUUUAUGGUGAGAGGAGGCAGCGUGGGAGUAGGGAGGGAGUGCUGGACCAGGAGUCGGGAGGCCGGGGCCAAGUCCAGGCUGUUGUCCUGAGUUCUUGGCUGUUGCCUCACCUGGACGGGGAGGGCGUAUCAGGAGUCUCAGCAGCCCUUUCCCUGACGUUCCACUUCGUACGACUGUGUAGGGCUUCCCCUCUCAUCCCUCUAUACGCACUUAUGGUUAACGUUGCUGAGCGCCUACUCCGUGCCAGGCAUUGCGCUGAUCAUCUCCUUUGACAACAACCCAAUGGAGAUAUUCACCCCAUUUUACAGAUGAGGAAGCGCAGCUCAGAGAUCCUGAGGGACUUGCCCAAGGAGUUGCGGCUGUGUCAGAGCCAGGGUUCGAACCCCUUCUGUGCGAGUUCAGAGCCUCUGUUCUCCAUCGCCACCCUGGGCCCACCUGGGCCACCUCCAUUGGCCCACCUGGGCCACCCCCGGGGGCUCUAGAUGUUUGGAGAAGGGAGUGCAGUGAGGGAUGGCGGUGUGUGGUUGGGAUGGAGACAUGGUCUUGGGCAAGUGUCCACCCGCCCGGGCGCUUCACUGUCCUGAGGGUGGCAGGAGGAGGUCGGCCUGUUGGGCCAGGCUCUCAGGAGGUGUGCAGUAGGGACCCCGUGACUGAGGAACCCCAGGGAAUGCUCCAGCCAGGUCUUUUGUAAAGGCUGCAGGAUCUUCUGGGGCCACGGGAGUGUGUAUGGUUUUCUCCUGGAGAUCCGAGUGUGGUGACGCCACCCCAGGCCACAGAGAGGCAGAGGAGAGGCUCUGUUCCUCUCUGCUUUUGGUGCCCCUGUGGUCAUGAGAUAGGCCUCUAAUGCUCUUUUCAGAGCACACACACAUUUCUUUGUACCCUUCCAGCACCCUCAUUAGGAAAUUGGUACAGUCACCCUGUUUUUAGAUUAAGAAAACGAGGCCCAUGAAGGCUGAGAGAGUUACCCAGAGUCCCUCAGCAAAUGAAGGGCAGGGCCAGAACUGGACCCCAGAGUCCUCUUUGCUCAGGCCUUCUGCCCUAUCAGAGCAGGGACCCAGUCUAGGGGCCAGCAUGUGUCUGGCAAAUUUCCUAGAAGUGGUGAGGGUGGAGGAAAGGUGGGACGCCCAUUUGUCCUCGAAGCCGAGGGUCCCCCGGCAGCGGCCGCAUUGCCCCAGCCCCCUGCUCUGCUGUUCUCUGUCUUGUCAGCCUGCCAUUCCCUGUCACAUGUGCACAGACACGCCCACCGCCUGCUCCCCAGACGUGGGCUGGGGUCCUGCCAGCCUCUCAUUGUCUCCUGUGCUUUUUGCCAGCCCAGGCAGUGACUGACCCGUGAUCCAGCGUGCAGAGAAGUCUGGAGCCAGGGGCCAGUGGAACCAGUUUCCUCCGAGAAGAUUGAUCCUUCUUCCCCUUCCAGCUGAGCCGGGGUUCAGGCUGGAGGACAGAGCACCACCAGCUGUGGGGCAUUUACCACAGGGCUAGGGCCUAACACCCACACUUGUUUUAGUUCAGACUCCUUUUUACAUGUGACAAAGGCACUUUUAAUACACACUGUAAAAUACUGACUCUGUAUUUUAGAAUCAGGCUAUAUUUUAUAAUGUUCACCUCAAGGGCUGAGUGGCUGAGAAGGUGAGGAUGCAGGAUUUUGGAGCUGCACAUACAGAUUCAGUGUCAGCUCUGGAUCCUGCGGUGUUCACCUAUGAAGUCUCUCCUGAUGACAGUUCCGUGACACUUGAUUGACUCUGGAGGCCUGAGGGAGGAAGGCCUGCGCACUUGGGCCUUUGGCUGGGCCUCAGCAGCCGCUCAGGACGGCCCCCUCAGCUGGGCUGGGGGCCGCCGGGCUGUGGACUCCUGUGCAGGGCUGGUUUGGCAGGCGGUCUGCAAUCCCAGACAAAGGGAGGGACUCCGCAGGCCCUCUUCCAGCCCACAUGCCUCCGGAUCGCUCCAAUGAGGCGGCCGGGAGGAGGGGUAGCCUGUUCAGUAAGAAUCGUGGCCCAAAUUUCAAACAGAGAGCGUGACAGGCCCUCACCUCAGACUUCACGAAGAGCACACGUGAUCUGGAAGAGGCACCCUCCGGCUAUGUCACGUGUGAGCAGGCACAUGGCCCGGCCCCCUUCUCCGCCCCCUGGAGAGGACUUGUUACCUGAGCUCCUGGAUGUCGUCAAGCCAUGAAGCCACUGCCUGCGCCCCAGGGGACCGUCCCUGCCCAGCUCACAGCCCUCUCCCGGCGCUGCAGACCCUCGAAGUGCCUGAUGAGUGUUUCUCACUGCGAGUCCUCCCUGGCCAAGCCCAGGCUGCAGUCUGCACGCACCCACUGAAGCAUUUAAGAGCCAGUGCAGUCGCCCCAGCUUUCUCUUCCCCUGUAGUGGACACCUGGGAGCCACAUAUUCUGGAUGGAGUAACCACAGGAUGCAAGCCGACUGGUCCUAAAUCUCCACUUGGAAGGGGACUACCGAGCAGAGGCCCCGAGGCCCAUGGCUCACUUCGCAUGAGUGAGAAAUAAACUUUGAUGUAUUCAUCCCCUGGGAUUUUAGGCUUUAUUUUCUACUGUUGCAUAAUCUAGCCUACCCAGGUUGUAGGUAUCAUCAUCCCCGUACUACAUAUGAGAAAACUGAGGCAUGAUGGUUCCGUGACUAGUCAGAGACUGAGUUGAAGCUGGAGCUUGUAUCUGACUCCAGAGAGCCUUUAAGCACUGCAUUGGCUGCUGUUACCCUGAGAA